GCUCCCCGGACAGUGGGUCCUUCCAGUCGUAGAAAAGCAUUGUGGGAGGAGACCCUGGCCUUUUCUGCUUUUGCGCUCCGGGGUGAAAGACGGAUGCUUGAAGCAUAUCCUGCUGCUAGCUGAAUUCUGUCCUGGAGCACCAAGGGUGACUAAGGAUGUCCUUGAUGAAUUCAAAACCAUCACAGGAAAUCUUGACAAGAGUUGCUUGGAUCAUUUAAAAUUCCCAGGAGUCUGAGGGGGUACUAAAACAACUGUUUUGGAACUGUCCAUAAAUCUACCUUUAAAAUAGUGGGGCUAUGAAUAAAUAUUUCCUUGUGCUUCUUGGAGGUUUGUGUAUUAAGUAAUUAACUACCAGCAAAUAGCAUUCUUUUGAAAGAUCAAAGGGAAAGGGAGGGUUUCUAUCCUCCCCGCCCCUGAAACUUGAGAAUGGUUUAAUCUCAGCUAAGAUUGAUAUUCAGAGCUACCAGUUAUGGAGAACUAAGUGCUUGCUUUCAGUGCCUAGGCUUGGUGAACUAGAGUAGUUGGUUUUUAGGUCACAGGUGUGUUUUACGUUGUCACUGCUUUUUUUUUUUUUUUUUUUUUUUACCCUCCACCUCAACUUUGUAGGAAAGAACAAAUAGUCUUUGGGCAUUGAAACAUUUAUUGAGUUUUUCAGUAACGUACUAGGAGGUGGGAACACAAGGGUGAGCAAAACACAGUCCCUCCCUUUGGAAGCUUAGAGUUGAAUGGCAGAAAUAUCAUCACAGAUAUGAAACUGCCUUUGUGAGACAAGUCUCAUUCAUGAGUUGACCAAGGAAACCUGAGAAAGCGGUUGAGAUUAAGGGCAGUUAUCAUUUUUGCAAGGCAAAGUUGGGAAUGGCAUAUGCAGGGGCCUUGGCCUAGGAAAGAUACAGGUUUGUGACAGUUGUAGUUACUUUCCGUCUUAAGUGUCCUGAUUUAGAUAAGAGUUGAGUGCUUAAUGAGGCUUGAAGGUGGCUAUUAAGGGAGCCCAUGGGUGGGUGUUACAAAAUGAGCCUGAGCAGGUAAAACAACAGACCACAUAGGGCUCUGUUUAAAGCAAGGGGAAAUUUUAUAGUUGUCAUGUGUAAAAAAGGAGAUGCAGGUGGGCCAGUUGUUGAAGCAAGAGAGGACCACCUUGGACCAGGGUGGUAGUAAAAUUUGGAGAUCAUUAAGCUAUAGAGAGCAGAGCUAACAGGACUUGGUUAUAGGGGAGGUGUCUAACGAUUGCUAUGUGUGUAGUUUUGCACAUUCACAUGGUAGUGGUCCUGAAUCCAGGGAGCAGCAUUUUAAACUGUUGAACUGGGACUGCCUUUGAAAAAUCUAAGUGACCUGGCAGAAAGACUAAGCUAUGGAAAUAAACCUUAAGGCUAUGGGCAUAAAUGAGAUCCACCUGGGGUAGAGGAAGAGGACUAAGCUCUGGGAAACUAAUUGAUGAGGUAGAAUAGCAUCUUACUGAAGAGCAGUAAAAGAUGGUCAGAACAGUGCAAACAAUGAAAUACUGCACUAAAAAUAAGGCAGGGCAGCCUAAAGUUACCUUUGGGAUUUGGUGACAGGUGAUUUUAGCGUAAGGUGUGUAGUGGAGGAGGAUCUUAACAGUUUACAGUCGGGAUUAGAAGAAUUGACACCAGCUGCAGAUA
rnacentral:lncRNA from 1 species